rnacentral:tRNA from 1 species
GCGGGGGUCGCCCAGCCAGGUCAAAGGCGCUAGAUUCAGAGUCUAGUCUCGGAGGAGUUCGUGGGUUCGAAUCCCAUCCCCCGCA